UGGAGCUAAAGUAUUUCAAGAUAGCAAGGUUUGAGGAGAAUCCGAAAGGUAAUGUCAAGAGCUUUGCAGAUCAAGUAAAACUUCACUAGCACAGCUCCUCUGCCGUUUGAUUAAUUCUCUAAAGGCAUUUGUAUUUUUGUUUGUUUAAUUCUACUCUCUUUUGAUUCAGAACAUUGAAUAACUCCUCAACUCUUUCGUUGGAGUGGUG
rnacentral:misc_RNA from 1 species